CCUACGGGUGGCAGCAGUGAGGAAUAUUGGUCAAUGGACGAGAGUCUGAACCAGCCAAGUAGCGUGAAGGAUGACUGCCCUAUGGGUUGUAAACUUCUUUUAUAUGGGAAUAAAAUGUUCCACGUGUGGGAUUUUGUAUGUACCAUAUGAAUAAGGAUCGGCUAACUCCGUGCCAGCAGCCGCGGUAAUACGGAGGAUCCGAGCGUUAUCCGGAUUUAUUGGGUUUAAAGGGUGCGUAGGUGGAUUGUUAAGUCAGUUGUGAAAGUUUGCGGCUCAACCGUAAAAUUGCAGUUGAAACUGGCAGUCUUGAGUACAGUAGAGGUGUGCGGAAUGCGUGGUGUAGCGGUGAAAUGCUUAGAUAUCACGAAGAACUCCGAUUGCGAAGGCAGUUCACUGGACUGCAACUGACGCUGAGGCUCGAAAGUGUGGGUAUCAAACAGGAUUAGAGACCCGUGUAGUC
rnacentral:rRNA from 1 species